GACACUCUGGAGAAUCCCGGCCACGCCGGGUGCCGAAGGUGCAAAGCCCUGACCGGGCUAAUCUCUCAGGCAAAAGGACAGAGAAG
rnacentral:ncRNA from 1 species